UACAGAGGGUGCGAGCGUUAAUCGGAAUUACUGGGCGUAAAGCGUGCGUAGACGGUUAUGUAAGUCGGAUGUGAAAGCCCCGGGCUCAACCUGGGAAUUGCAUUCGAGACUGCAUAGCUAGGAUGCGGAAGAGGGAAGCGGAAUUUCCGGUGUAGCGGUGAAAUGCGUAGAUAUCGGAAGGAACACCAGUGGCGAAAGCGGCUUCCUGGUCCAGCAUCGACGUUCAGGCACGAAAGCGUGGGGAGCAAACAGG
rnacentral:rRNA from 1 species